GAUGAACGCUGGCGGCGUGCUUAACACAUGCAAGUCGAACGGAAAGGCCCAAGCUUGCUUGGGUACUCGAGUGGCGAACGGGUGAGUAACACGUGGGUGAUCUGCCCUGCACUUCGGGAUAAGCCUGGGAAACUGGGUCUAAUACCGGAUAGGACGAUGGUUUGGAUGCCAUUGUGGAAAGUUUUUUCGGUGUGGGAUGAGCUCGCGGCCUAUCAGCUUGUUGGUGGGGUAAUGGCCUACCAAGGCGUCGACGGGUAGCCGGCCUGUGAGGGUGUACGGCCACAUUUGGACUGAGAUACGGCCCAGACUCCUACGGGAGGCAGCAGUGGGGAAUAUUGCACAAUGGGCGCAAGCCUGAUGCAGCGACGCCGCGUGGGGGAUGACGGCCUUCGGGUUGUAAACUCCUUUCGCUAGGGACGAAGCGUUUUUGUGACGGUACCUGGAGAAGAAGCACCGGCUAACUACGUG
rnacentral:rRNA from 1 species